rnacentral:rRNA from 1 species
UAGGGAAUCUUCGGCAAUGGGCGAAAGCCUGACCGAGCAACGCCGCGUGAAUGAUGAAGGCCUUCGGGUUGUAAAAUUCUGUUAUAAGGGAAGAAUGGCUCUAGUAGGAAAUGGCUAGAGUGUGACGGUACCUUAUGAGAAAGCCACGGCUAACUACGUGCCAGCAGCCGCGGUAAUACGUAGGUGGCGAGCGUUAUCCGGAAUUAUUGGGCGUAAAGAGCGCGCAGGUGGUUGAUUAAGUCUGAUGUGAAAGCCCACGGCUUAACCGUGGAGGUUCAUUUGAAACUGGUGAGCUUGAGUGCAGAAGAGGGAAGUGGAAUUCCAUGUGUAGCGGUGAAAUGCGUAGAGAUAGGGAGGAACACCAGUGGCGAAGGCGGCUUCCUGGUCUGUAACUGACACUGAGGCGCGAAAGCGUGGGGAGCAAACA